rnacentral:tRNA from 1 species
CGGGAGUAGCUCAGCUUGGUAGAGCACAUGGUUUGGGACCAUGGGGUCGCAGGUUCGAAUCCUGUCUUCCCGACCA